AUUGAACGCUGGCGGCAGGCUUAACACAUGCAAGUCGAGCGAGCGGCGGACGGGUGAGUAAUGUCUGGGAAACUGCCUGAUGGAGGGGGGUAAAUACUGGAAACGGUAGCUAAUACCGCAUUCUAUCAGAUGUGCCCAGAUGGGAUUAGCGAGUAGGUGGGGUAAUGGCUCACAUAGGCGACGAUCCCUAGCUGGUCUGAGAGGAUGACCGGCCAAACGGGAACUGAGACACGGUCCAGACUCCUAGGUGAGGCAGCGGGGGGGAAGAUUGGAAAAUGGGGGCAAGCCUGAUGCAGCGAUGCCGCGGGUGUGAAGAAGGCCUUCGGGUUGUAAAGCACUUUCAGCGAGGAGGCGUUACUCGCAGAAGAAGCACCGGCUAACUCCGUGCCAGCAGCCGCGGUAAUAC
rnacentral:rRNA from 1 species